rnacentral:miRNA from 1 species
UGUGUGAAUGUAAUAGAA